rnacentral:sRNA from 1 species
AGAAAUCUUGCAUCACCAUGGUGCACUUCUGUGGCCUACUCACCCUCCAACGGGAGCCAGUGCCGCUGAAGAGUAUCUCUGUGAGCGUGAACAUUUACGAGUUUGUGGCUGGUGUGUCUGCAACUUUGAACUACGAGAAUGAGGAGAAAGUUCCUUUGGAGGCCUUCUUUGUGUUCCCCAUGGAUGAAGACUCUGCUGUUUACAGCUUUGAGGCCUUGGUGGAUGGGAAGAAAAUUGUAGCAGAAUUACAAGACAAGAUGAAGGUAGUAGAGAUUACCUCCUCCCUUCUUAUUUCCUUAAUGCAUACUCUUUAUGAUCUCUGCUAAAUGUACCUUCACAAAACAUGCUGAUGUUGAAAGCUCUUUCUUCCACUCUUUUCUAACUGCCAUUUUUCUAAAAUCAUUUGGGGGAAGAAAUCAAUCAGAGGCAUUCAGAGUAUAGCUGUGAUUAGACAAGACCAAUCACACAGUCGCUCUGCACUGCUCGUCUCUUUUUCAGCCAUGUCACCUUGGAUGUU